rnacentral:rRNA from 1 species
GAUGAACGCUGGCGGCGUGCCUAAUACAUGCAAGUCGAGCGAACAGACGAGGAGCUUGCUCCGCUGACGUUAGCGGCGGACGGGUGAGUAACACGUGGAUAACCUACUUAUAAUACUGGGAUAACUUCGGAAAACCGGAUCUAAUACCGGAUAAGCUAUUGAACCGCAUGGUUCAAUAGUGAAAGACGGUUUUUCUGUCACUAAUAGCUGGUUCCGCGCCGCAUUAGAUAGUUGGUAAGGUAACGGCUUACCAAGGCGACGAUGCGUAGCCGACGUGACAGGGGGAUCGGCCGCACGAGAACGGGAACACCGACAAGACUACUAAGAGAGGGCGCAGUAGGGUAUCGUACGCAGCAGGCGGGAACCUUGCAGAACAACGGCAAGUGAGAUGUGGCAGUGUUGCGAGCGUGAAAACCUCUUAUUAGGGGAAAACAAAUGUGGAAGGUACUGUGGACGUAGUGACGGUACCGAAUCAAAAAGCCACGGCUAACUACGUG